GAAGCGCUCGUAACCGCGGAGCAGCACGGCGCGGUGAUACGUUCCCGGGUCUUGUACACACCGCCCGUCACACCAUGAGAGUUUGUAACACCCAAAGCCGGUGGGGUAACCUUCGGGAGCCAGCCGUCUAAGGUGGGACAGAUGAUUAGGGUGAAGUCGUAACAAGGUAUCCGUAGAGGUUCUGCUAUCACUAAGAGAUGGUCCCGCGGUGCAUUAGUUAGUUGGUGAGGUAAUGGCUCACCAAGACGAUGAUGCAUAGCCGAGUUGAGAGACUGAUCGGCCACAAUGGGACUGAGACACGGCCCAUACUCCUACGGGAGGCAGCAGUAGGGAAUCUUCCACAAUGGGCGAAAGCCUGAUGGAGCAACGCCGCGUGUGUGAUGAAGGGUUUCGGCUCGUAAAACACUGUUGUAAGAGAAGAAUGACAUUGAGAGUAACUGUUCAAUGUGUGACGGUAUCUUACCAGAAAGGAACGGCUAAAUACGUGCCAGCAGCCGCGGUAAUACGUAUGUUCCAAGCGUUAUCCGGAUUUAUUGGGCGUAAAGCGAGCGCAGACGGUUAUUUAAGUCUGAAGUGAAAGCCCUCAGCUCAACUGAGGAAUUGCUUUGGAAACUGGAUGACUUGAGUGCAGUAGAGGAAAGUGGAACUCCAUGUGUAGCGGUGAAAUGCGUAGAUAUAUGGAAGAACACCAGUGGCGAAGGCGGCUUUCUGGACUGUAACUGACGUUGAGGCUCGAAAGUGUGGGUAGCAAACAGGAUUAGAUACCCUGGUAGUCCACACCGUAAACGAUGAGUGCUAGGUG
rnacentral:rRNA from 1 species